CUCUCUCUCUUCCCUAUCUCUCUCCGACUCACUCACUCGUUCUUUUCUGCAGCGGUGGUAGUUGAUCGUGGAUCGCGCUCGUGGUAACUACUGUGUCAUUCGCCGUCAGCAACAAACAUGUCGUAGAGUAAUAUUCAUUCUGGAGAACCCCGAAGCGUUAAUGCGAUCGUAUGUGCCUGAAAUUGAAAUGAAUAUUAUGUUGAUCACGUGACCGUAUGGAUGGCAAGAAAAUGACGGAAUGAUCGAUAGCAUCGAACGCUGAUUGACGAUAAAGAAAGAAACAUCCGUCUAUGGUCUACGAUAUACAUUUAUCCGGCAAAAUGCCAAAUUCGUUGUAUCGGGUUAUUUCUUCGACACGGCACGCACGAGGAUGAUUUUUUUCAAAGCAGAUUCACGUGUCAGACUAAAUUCGAAUGUUAGAUUAUCUUGAACAUCUUGAAGUCAUAACCACAACUUUUUCUAUCGCAUCACAUUCUGCUCAUUAAUAAACACUAAUUUCUAA